UUAGCUUAGUUGGUAGAGCACCCGCUUAGUAAGCGGGAGGUCGUCGGUUCAACUCCGGCAGAAGGCU
rnacentral:tRNA from 1 species